GACGUAGGGCGCGAGCGUUGUCCGGAUUUAUUGGGCGUAAAGAGCUCGUAGGCGGCUCGUUGCGUCGGCUGUGAAAACCCACAGCUUAACUGUGGGCCUGCAGCCGAUACGGGCGAGCUAGAGUUCGGUAGGGGAGACUGGAAUUCCUGGUGUAGCGGUGAAAUGCGCAGAUAUCAGGAGGAACACCGGUGGCGAAGGCGGGUCUCUGGGCCGAUACUGACGCUGAGGAGCGAAAGCGUGGGGAGCAAACAGG
rnacentral:rRNA from 1 species